rnacentral:rRNA from 1 species
GAUGAACGCUGGCGGCGUGCUUAACACAUGCAAGUCGAACGAUGAAGCCCAGCUUGCUGGGUGGAUUAGUGGCGAACGGGUGAGUAACACGUGAGUAACCUGCCCUUAACUCUGGGAUAAGCCUGGGAAACUGGGUCUAAUACCGGAUAGGAGCGUCCACCGCAUGGUGGGUGUUGGAAAGAUUUAUCGGUUUUGGAUGGACUCGCGGCCUAUCGGCUUGUUGGUGAGGUAAUGGCUCACCAAGGCGACGACGGGUAGCCGGCCUGAGAGGGUGACCGGCCACACUGGGACUGAGACACGGCCCAGACUCCUACGGGAGGCAGCAGUGGGGAAUAUUGCACAAUGGGCGAAAGCCUGAUGCAGCGACGCCGCGUGAGGGAUGACGGCCUUCGGGUUGUAAACCUCUUUCAGUAGGGAAGAAGCGAAAGUGACGGUACCUGCAGAAGAAGCACCGGCUAACUACGUG